rnacentral:rRNA from 1 species
GCACUAAGUCACUUUGUCUUUAUGGCAAAUGUGAGAUGCAGUGUAUGGAAUGUCAAAUUUCUAGUAUGAGAAAUUAACGAUUUAAGUCCUUCUUAAAUGAGGCCAUUUACCCAUAGAGGGUGCCAGGCCCGUAUAACGUUAAUGAUUACUAGAUGGCAUUUCCAAAGAGUCGUGUUGCUUGAUAGUGCAGCACUAAGUGGGUGGUAAACUCCAUCUAAAACUAAAUAUAACCAUGAGACCGAUAGUAAACAAGUACCGUGAGGGAAAGUUGAAAAGAACUCUGAAUAGAGAGUUAAAUAGUACGUGAAACUGCUUAGAGGUUAAGCCCGAUGAACCUGAAUAUCCAUUAUAGAAAAUUCAUCAUUAUGAUUUUAAUAUGUAUAAUAUUAUAAUAAUGGUGUGCAUUUUUUCUAUAAAAGGACAUUGUAAUCUAUUAACAUAAAAAUAUUUAUCAUAAGGUCAUUAGCAAGAGUUUACUCAAAUUAUAUUGCUUGCAAUUUAACAUAGAAUAAAUGCUUUUGAUUUGAUAAAGUGUUGAUAGAUUUAUUAUAUAUAGUGCUUAAAUAUUUUAUAUUGUAUAAUAUCAUGUUAAUUAUUAAUUUUUAUGAUUAUUAUAUGCAUUUAUAUGAUUAACAAUGCGAAAGAUUCAGGAUACCUUCGGGACCCGUCUUGAAACACGGACCAAGGAGUCUAACAUAUUUGCAAGUUAUUGGGAAUGAAAACCUAAUAGCGAAAUUAACAUAACUUAAAAAUAAUGGGAUUAGUUUUUAACCUAUUUUAUAGGUUAUUAAUUCAAUCCCGGGGCGUUCUAUACAGUUAUGUAUAAUGAUAUUUAUAUUAUUUAUACCUCUAACUAGAGCGUACCUUGAGCAUAUAUGCUGUGACCCGAAAGAUGGUGAACUAUACUUGAUCAGGUUGAAGUCAGGGGAAACCCUG